rnacentral:rRNA from 1 species
GACGAACGCUGGCGGCGUGCUUAACACAUGCAAGUCGAGCGGUAAGGCCUUUCGGGGUACACGAGCGGCGAACGGGUGAGUAACACGUGGGUGAUCUGCCCUGCACUUCGGGAUAAGCCUGGGAAACUGGGUCUAAUACCGGAUAUGACCUCCUAUCGCAUGGUGGGUGGUGGAAAGAUUUAUCGGUGCAGGAUGGGCCCGCGGCCUAUCAGCUGGUUGGUGGGGGAAUGGCCGACCAAGGCGACGACGGGUAGCCGACCUGAGAGGGUGACCGGCCAGACUGGGACUGAGACACGGCCCAGACUCCUACGGGAGGCAGCAGUGGGGAAUAUUGCACAAUGGGCGAAAGCCGGAGGCAGCGACGCCGCGUGAGGGAUGACGGCCUUCGGGUUGUAAACAUCUGGCAGCAGGGACGAAGCGCAAGUGACGGUACCUGCAGAAGAAGCACCGGCUAACUUCGUGCCAGCCGCCGCCGUAAUAC